rnacentral:rRNA from 1 species
AUGCCGCGUGAGUGAAGAAGGCCUUCGGGUUGUAAAGCUCUUUCAGAUGCGAAGAUGAUGACGGUAACAUCAGAAGAAGCCCCGGCUAAUUUCGUGCCAGCAGCCGCGGUAAUACGAAAGGGGCUAGCGUUGUUCGGAUUUACUGGGCGUAAAGGGCACGCAGGCGGUCUUGCCAGUCAGGGGUGAAAGCCCGGGGCUCAACCCCGGAACUGCCUCUGAUACUGCAAGACUAGAGACUAGGAGAGGGUGGUGGAAUUCCCAGUGUAGAGGUGAAAUUCGUAGAUAUUGGGAGGAACACCAGAGGCGAAGGCGGCCACCUGGACUAGAUCUGACGCUCAGGUGCGAAAGCGUGGGGAGCAAACAGGAUUAGAUACCCUGGUAGUCCACGCCGUAAACGAUGAGUGCUAGUUGUCGGGACUUCGGUUUCGGUGACGCAGCUAACGCAUUAAGCACUCCGCCUGGGGAGUACGGUCGCAAGAUUAAAACUCUAG